GAGAUAGAGGCGCGGAUGACAAAAGUAUUUUUCCGGUGAAUUUGGGCAGAAUGCGGAAAAUGAAAGGGGAUUUCGCCGAAACCUCGGAUACCUGCUUCGUAUCAUGAGGUUGGGACAGCGCAGAAUAUGCGUUGUACUGUCGCAAAAGGGCGGAGGGCUAUCAU
rnacentral:ncRNA from 1 species